AGGACGAACGCUGGCGGCGUGCUUAACACAUGCAAGUCGAACGAGGUUCAACCAGUCGCAAGACUGGUGAAGACCGAGUGGCGAACGGGUGCGUAACACGUGAGAAACCUGUCCCGGUCUCUGGAAUAACAGUCGGAAACGACUGCUAAUACCGGAUGCCGUCGGAGCGUCGCAUGGCGCGCUGACGAAAGGGCUACCGGAUCGGGAGGGUCUCGCGGCCUAUCAGCUUGUGGUGAGGUAACGGCUCACCAAGGCAUCGACGGGUAGCUGGUCUGAGAGGAUGAUCAGCCACACUGGGACUGAGACACGGCCCAGACUCCUACGGGAGCAGCAGUGGGGAAUCUUGCACAAGUGGGCGAAAGCCUGAUGCAGCAACGCCGCGU
rnacentral:rRNA from 1 species